rnacentral:snRNA from 1 species
AUCUCAUCGGCCUUUUGGCUAAGAUCAAAGUGUAGUAUCUGUUCUUAUCAGCUUAAUACAAUACAUAAAAUCAUAGAAACUGCUGGAAAUGUGUGAACAAAACGAGCAAGACUGACUGAAAGCCUAA